rnacentral:rRNA from 1 species
GACGAACGCUGGCGGCGUGCUUAACACAUGCAAGUCGAACGGAAAGGCCCUGCUUGCAGGGUACUCGAGUGGCGAACGGGUGAGUAACACGUGGGUGAUCUGCCCUGCACUUCGGGAUAAGCCUGGGAAACUGGGUCUAAUACCGGAUAUGACCUUCCAUGUAGUGUGGGGGGUGGAAAGAUUUAUCGGUGUGGGAUGAGCCCGCGGCCUAUCAGCUUGUUGGUGGGGUAAUGGCCUGCCAAGGCGUCGACGGGUAGCCGGCCUGAGAGGGUGGACGGCCACAUUGGGACUGAGAUACGGCCCAGACUCCUACGGGAGGCAGCAGUGGGGAAUAUUGCACAAUGGGCGGAAGCCUUAUGCAGCGACGCCGCGUGGGGGAUGACGGCCUUCGGGUUGUAAACCUCUUUCGACAGGGACGAAGCUUCGGUGACGGUACCUGUAUAAGAAGCACCGGCUAACUACGUG